ensembl:lncRNA
UUUUUUGGGGCAAGAAGCAUGAAACAGUGGGAACUUUGGGGGUGGGAACUCCAGAGGGUUCGGUGAAGGAGGAGUACAGUCACUGGGAGACAAAAUGGAGAGUGGGUAAAAUUUCUGUGCCACCGACUGGGAAAGUCCCCCAAUAUCCCCAGGACUUUGGCAUUUGAAUGAUUUCACAUUUCAGAUAAGGGAAAAAGUCUCAGCCUGUUCCUGUGAACCCCCCCGCCUCCAGGUCACCUUCUGCAUUCACCACCUGAUUUGCAAAUGGCUUUUGACCAAUUUUCCCCUGGUAGAUUACUUCUCACUAUUACUCUUCUACGUUGCUGCAGUACUCACCAAUGCCAUGCUGAGAGUACCCAGCUCCGACUGUGGGAAAUGAGAGGCGAAGCUCAAGCUUCACAAAGGUCAGCUAUGCUGCAGCAUGGUUUUUUGAAAAGCUGCAGAUGCCCUGACAUCAAGGGAGCUGUUGUUGUUCAUGUGCAGGUAAAGAAGAAGCAGUGAAAGCUUUAUACAUGCUUUAAACACAGUUUUCUUUCAGUUUUGCCUGAAUGGAUCCAACAGAAAGGUUUUGCCUGAGCUACAGCUUCAAGGGUUUGCAUGCUUCUUAUUAAAUCUUGGUACUCUAUAGGCAAAAGGGGUUGGGAUGAAUAAGUGGAGAGUUGAAACUCAUGUUCGUACAUUCUAUGUUGUGCAUUGAACUUUGAUGUUAAUAUCAUUAGUUUUGUGUUCUCUUUCAGAAGAAAGACAUGAAAAUGAUGAUGCUAUGGGUCAAAACAGGUGCACAAAGGCCGUCAAAUGAGAAAUGUAUUUUGUUUCAGUAACAGACAUAGUUUAGAUACUUUUAAUAUAUCUGAUUGAUAGAUUACUUUUCGGGGGGGGGGGGGGGGGGGGGAAGGGGGAGAUACCUAAUAUAUAAUACAGCUUUCUAUUUGUACUGUGAUAUUAUUAAAAGUAAAUUAUUUCCUGUUAAACAAAACAAACAAACAAAAAAAAAAACAUGGAAAUUUAGAGGAAAAUAGGGCUUAUCAAGUCAAACAGGAUCCAACAUAAUUUUAAGUGUAUCCGUCAGAAAAUUCUAAAACAUUUUUUACACUGUGAGUAAAAAAAGUCUCCCUCCAUAGCACCCACUGAACAGACUGCAGCUCAACAGCAGCUUCAUUCUGGUGCUGGAUUGAGGCGGGUGGCUGCAUUGCAAUGCCAACGACACAGCUGAAGUUGGGGGCACGUAGGCGGCACUGGGAAGCCAGCAUACGGUUCAGAGACAGUGGUGGCUCUACUCACCAAAAGGGCUUGGUGGCUGCCAAGUUAGUCCUGACAUCCUUCAAACUCCAAAACAGAAAGAAGAGAGGAAGAAACAAGAAGGCACUUUCAACCAGAGACUGUGAAACAUAUGAAAAUAUUCCAUCUUGUGACUCUCCCCCACUUUUAAGAGGAGGCAAAAGGUAUCAGCAGCAGGAGCAGGCGGUGCGCUGCUCCGUGCACUGUGAUUCACACUGAAACACCGUAGGAGGACUCAUCAAGAAGGAUACUUCCUGUGCUUUGGGACUUGAUUUUGAUCACUUUCCACUUAAUGGGGCAAGAACACAUUUAUGAGAACCAGGCUCAGGUACCUCAGGCAUGAACCAGCUUUUGUUUGCUUUCCCACCCAAACUCUUUCAGAACCACCUUCAGCUUCCGCCCCAGAAAAGUCACCUUCUUACAGAUCUCAAU